CCUACGGGGCGCAGCAGUCGAGAAUCAUUCACAAUGGGGGAAACCCUGAUGGUGCGACGCCGCGUGGGGGAAUGAAGGUCUUCGGAUUGUAAACCCCUGUCAUGUGGGAGCAAAUUAAAAAGAUAGUACCACAAGAGGAAGAGACGGCUAACUCUGUGCCAGCAGCCGCGGUAAUACAGAGGUCUCAAGCGUUGUUCGGAAUCACUGGGCGUAAAGCGUGCGUAGGCUGUUUCGUAAGUCGUGUGUGAAAGGCGCGGGCUCAACCCGCGGACGGCACAUGAUACUGCGAGACUAGAGUAAGGGAGGGGGAACCGGAAUGCUCGGUGUAGCAGUGAAAUGCGUAGAUAUCGAGAGGAACACUCGUGGCGAAGGCGGGUUCCUGGACAUUAACUGACGCUGAGGCACGAAGGCCAGGGGAGCGAAAGGGAUUAGAUACCCGAGUAGUC
rnacentral:rRNA from 1 species